rnacentral:rRNA from 1 species
UACGGAGGAUUCAAGCGUUAUCCGGAUUUAUUGGGUUUAAAGGGUGCGUAGGCGGUCGGAUAAGUUAGAGGUGAAAUCCCGGGGCUCAACUUCGGAAUUGCCUCUGAUACUGUUCGGCUAGAGAGUAGUUGCGGUAGGCGGAAUGUAUGGUGUAGCGGUGAAAUGCUUAGAGAUCAUACAGAACACCGAUUGCGAAGGCAGCUUACCAAGCUACUUCUGACGUUGAGGCACGAAAGCGUGGGGAGCAAACAGG